rnacentral:sRNA from 1 species
GCUGGGUGUGGUGGUGCACGCCUGUAAUCCCAGUGACUCAGGAGGUUGAGGCAGGAGGAUCGCAGUUUCAAAGCCAGCCCCAGCAACUUAUUGAGGCCUUAAGCAACUCAGCAAGACCUUGUCUCAA